AGUGAACGCUCGCGGUAGGCCUAACACAUGCAAGUCGAACGGCAGCACAGUAAGAGCUUGCUCUUACGGGUGGCGAGUGGCGGACGGGUGCGGAAUACAUCGGAAUCUACUUUUUCGUGGGGGAUAACGUAGGGAAACUUACGCUAAUACCGCAUACGACCUACGGGUGAAAGCAGGGGAUCUUCGGACCUCGCGCGAUUGAAUGAGCCGAUGUCGGAUUAGCUAGUUGGCGGGGUAAAGGCCAACCAAGGCGACGAUCCGUAGCUGGUCUGAGAGGAUGAUCAGCCACCCUGGAAGUGAGACACGGUCCAGACUCCUACGGGAGGCAGCAGUGGGGAAUAUUGGACAAUGGGCGCAAGCCUGAUCCAGCCAUACCGCGUGGGUGAAGAAGGCCUUCGGGUUGUAAAGCCCUUUUGUUGGGAAAGAAAAGCAGCAGGUUAAUACCCCGCUGUUCUGACGGUACCCAAAGAAUAAGCACCGGCUAACUUCGUG
rnacentral:rRNA from 1 species